GACGAACGCCGGCGGCGUGCUUAACACAUGCAAGUCAAACGGUAAGGCCCUUCGGGGUACACGAGUGGCGAACGGGUGAGUAACACGUGGGUGAUCUGCCCUGCACUUCGGGAUGAGCCUGGGAAACUAGGUCUAAUACCGGAUAGGACCACUGCCUGCAUGGGUGGUGGUGGAAAGCUUUUGCGGUGUGGGAUGGGCCCGCGGCCUAUCAGCUUGUUGGUGGGGUGAUGGCCUACCAAGGCGACGACGGGUAGCCGGCCUGAGAGGGUGACCGGCCACACUGGGACUGAGAUACGGCCCAGACUCCUACGGGAGGCAGCAGUGGGGAAUAUUGCACAAUGGGCGCGAGCCUGAUGCAGCGACGCCGCGUGAGGGAUGACGGCCUUCGGGUUGUAAACCUCUUUCAGCACCGACGAAGCGCAAGUGACGGUAGGUGCAGAAGAAGGACCGGCCAACUACGUGCCAGCCGCCGCGGUAA
rnacentral:rRNA from 1 species